rnacentral:rRNA from 1 species
CCGGCGACCGGCGCACGGGUGAGUAACACGUAUGCAACCUGGCCGUGACAGAUGGAUAACCGGGAGAAAUCCCGCCUAAUACAACAUAAUGCCGGGAGGGGACAUCCCCUGCCGGUCAAAGGGGGCGACCCCGGUCACGGAUGGGCAUGCGGCGCAUUAGGUAGUUGGUGGGGCAACGGCCCACCAAGCCGACGAUGCGUAGGGGUUCUGAGAGGAAGGUCCCCCACACUGGUACUGAGACACGGACCAGACUCCUACGGAAGGCAGCAG